rnacentral:rRNA from 1 species
GCGAACGCUAGCGGCGGGCCUAACACAUGCAAGUCGAGCGGGGAGCAAUCCCAGCGGCGGACGGGUGAGUAACACGUAGGUAAUGUGCCUCAAGGUGGGGAAUAACCCCGGGAAACCGGGGCUAAUACCGCAUAUGUCGAGAGAUGAAAGCAGCAAUGCGCCAUGAGAGCAGCCUGCGUCCGAUUAUUUAUUCCUAGUUGGUGAGGUAAUGGCUCACCAAGGGUACGAUCGGUAGCUGGUCUGAGAGGAUGAUCAGCCACACUGGAACUGAGACACGGUCCAGACUCCUACGGGAGGCAGCAGUGGGGAAUAUUGCGCAAUGGGCGAAAGCCUGACGCAGCCACGCCGCGUGAGUGAUGAAGGCCUUCGGGUUGUAAAGCUCUGUCGGGUGGAAAGAAAGGCAUGAGAGUUAAUACCUCUCAUGUUUGACGGUACCACCAAAGGAAGCACCGGCUAACUCCGU